rnacentral:rRNA from 1 species
CGCCUCGUGAACUCAUCUUCGGGGGUAGAGCACUGUUUCGGCUAGGGGGUCAUCCCGACUUACCAACCCGAUGCAAACUACGAAUACCGAAGAAUGUUAUCACGGGAGACACACGGCGGGGGCUAACGUCCGUCGUGAAGAGGGAAACAACCCAGACCGCCAGCUAAGGUCCCAAAGUCAUGGUUAAGUGGGAAACGAUGUGGGAAGGCACAGACAGCCAGGAUGUUGGCUUAGAAGCAGCCAUCAUUUAAAGAAAGCGUAAUAGCUCACUGGUCGAGUCGGCCUGCGCGGAAGAUGUAACGGGGCUAAACCAUGCACCGAAGCUGCGGCAGCGACACUAUGUGUUGUUGGGUAGGGGAGCGUUCUGUAAGCCUGCGAAGGUGGGACGGAGAAGGCUAUGUUAGCCGGGCGACGGUUGUCCCGGUUUAAGCAUGUAGGCUGAUUGUCCAGGCAAAUCCGGAUAAUCAAG